rnacentral:rRNA from 1 species
AUACCCUGGUAGUCCACGCCGUAAACGAUGUCGACUUGGAGGUUGUGCCCUUGAGGCGUGGCUUCCGGAGCUAACGCGUUAAGUCGACCGCCUGGGGAGUACGGCCGCAAGGUUAAAACUCAAAUGAAUUGACGGGGGCCCGCACAAGCGGUGGAGCAUGUGGUUUAAUUCGAUGCAACGCGAAGAACCUUACCUGGUCUUGACAUCCACGGAAGUUUUCAGAGAUGAGAAUGUGCCUUCGGGAACCGUGAGACAGGUGCUGCAUGGCUGUCGUCAGCUCGUGUUGUGAAAUGUUGGGUUAAGUCCCGCAACGAGCGCAACCCUUAUCCUUUGUUGCCAGCGGUCCGGCCGGGAACUCAAAGGAGACUGCCAGUGAUAAACUGGAGGAAGGUGGGGAUGACGUCAAGUCAUCAUGGCCCUUACGACCAGGGCUACACACGUGCUACAAUGGCGCAUACAAAGAGAAGCGACCUCGCGAGAGCAAGCGGACCUCAUAAAGUGCGUCGUAGUCCGGAUUGGAGUCUGCAACUCGACUCCAUGAAGUCGGAAUCGCUAGUAAUCGUGGAUCAGAAUGCCACGGUGAAUACGUUCCCGGGCCUUGUACACACCGCCCGUCACACCAUGGGAGUGGGUUGCAAAAGAAGUAGGUAGCUUAACCUUCGGGAGGGCGCUUACCACUUUGUGAUUCAUGACUGGGGUGAAGUCGUAACAAGGUAACCGUAGGGGAACCUGCGGUUGGAUCACCUCCUUACCUUAAAGAA